GAAGGACAAAUAAAACACCAAUUGCAAGUCGGUGCAACAAACGGGACAAGCGCACUCAGGCUCCGGGAGAGUUUAGAUACAAUUAGCCCCAAUCCCACCGUCAGCGGAGCAGAGCAGUUCACCUGCAGAGGUGGCUGGAAAUCGCCUGUCUUCAGCAGCAGCCUGGGAGUGCAGGAGGGAAGGGAGAGAAAAACACUGAAGAGCCAAACACACAGCUCUGUUAUUUCAUUUCCUGCUCGUUCAGCAACUUAUGGGCAGUAUCUAAAGGAACCUGCACUUGGCUGGAAGAUUGCUGGUGAGGCUUCUGAGUUCAAGAAGUGGUUGGAGGACAGCACUUCAGAUCGGGCCUGCCACUCCCAGCUCCGACACGGAACCUCAGCACCGCACCAGGCUCCGCGCGGCGCGGGCGGCGGAGUCCUGUCCUGCGGCACCCUCCUGUGCUCGCACCACUGCCAGGAGUUCCUCUCAUCCUUCCCCGCGCCACUCCCAGCACCCAAACCAGCUCAAUGCACAGAAGCAAAUGGGCAGAGCACCCACGUACAGGGACUCCCGACGGCUACUGGGGUCCUCUCAGGCGACGGCACCAACUCGCUGCCACGUUCUCCAGUGGCCGGGACCAGGCAGGUGCCAGCACAGCCCGGCUCUCCUGCAGCCAACUUUCAGGGAAGCGGCUGUUUGAAAACCUCCUGCCGUCUUUGUUUGGUUGGGGCAGAGCCAGCAAGGGCUGCCGGGAAGGUCACCCAAGAGGACACCAAUGUACAGGGAGGGCGGAGCCCUUCUCGUAACCCUUUCGGGGCAGCCGCGCUGCAGGGCCGCCAGGAACCGCGUCACCUUAGGGCACAGACUCGUCUGUCCCGUCCCGGAGCACAGCCCAGGCGUGGCUGGUCACACCCGUGCCAGAGAAACCUCACAGAAUGCAGCGUUGCCAUCCCUAGAGGUCCUUUCCAGCCCUGGAAGCACCAGCUCCAUCCCUGCGUGAGGAUGGUGGCUGCGAUGUGCCAGCCGGGCUGCCAGUGUGGGGCAGAGGCCACAGCGGAGCCAUUCGCUCUGAAACUGAAGCAAACACGUGCUUUGAGCUGUUCUCAUCUGUGCUAG
rnacentral:lncRNA from 1 species